rnacentral:rRNA from 1 species
UACAGAGGGUGCGAGCGUUAAUCGGAAUUACUGGGCGUAAAGCGCACGUAGGUGGUUUUGUAAGUCGGAUGUGAAAUCCCCGGGCUCAACCCGGGAACUGCAUUCGAGACUGCAUUACUCGAGUAUGGGAGAGGGAAGCGGAAUUUCCGGUGUAGCGGUGAAAUGCGUAGAUAUCGGAAGGAACAUCAGUGGCGAAAGCGGCUUCCUGGCCCAAUACUGACACUCAUGUGCGAAAGCGUGGGGAGCAAACAGGAUUAGAUACCCUGGUAGUCCACGCCAUAAACGAUGAGAACUAGAUGUCGAGAGGGUUAGCCUCACGGUGUCGCAGCUAACGCGUUAAGUUCUCCGCCUGGGGAGUACGGCCGCAAGGUUGAA